rnacentral:tRNA from 3 species
GCUCCCAUAGCUCAGUUGGUUUAGAGCAUCAAGCUUAUAUCUUGGAGGUCGACGGUUCGAUCCCGCCUGGGAGCA